rnacentral:rRNA from 1 species
UACAGGCUUAACACAUGCAAGUCGAGGGACCGGCGCACGGGUGAGUAACACGUAUCCAACCUGCCGUCUACUCUUGGACAGCCUUCAGAAAGGAAGAUUAAUACAAGAUGGUAGACGAUGGGGAUGCGUUCCAUUAGAUAGUAGGCGGGGUAACGGCCCACCUAGUCUUCGAUGGAUAGGGGUUCUGAGAGGAAGGUCCCCCACAUUGGAACUGAGACACGGUCCAAACUCUACGGGAGGCAGCAGUGAGGAAUAUUGGUCAAUGGGCGAGAGCCUGAACCAGCCAAGUAGCGUGAAGGAUGACUGCCUAUGGUUGUAAACUUUUUUUAUAAAGGAAUAUGUACUUUAUGAAUAAGGAUCGGCUAACUCCGUGCCAGCAGCCGCGGUAAUACGGAGGAUCCGAGCGUUAUCCGGAUUUAUUGGGUUUAAAGGGAGCGUAGAUGGAUGUUUAAGUCAGUUGUGAAAGUUUGCGGCUCAACCGUAAAAUUGCAGUUGAUACUGGAUAUCUUGAGUGCAGUUGAGGCAGGCGGAAUUCGUGGUGUAGCGGUGAAAUGCUUAGAUAUCACGAAGAACUCCGAUUGCAAAGGCAGCCUGCUAAGCUGCAACUGACAUUGAGGCUCGAAAGUGUGGGUAUCAAAC